AUGUCGACGACUGACACCAGCUCACCCAAGGACGCACCCCUGCCGGAGAACAGCGCCCCGGCGGUGGCGGCAGGCAGCGAGCCGACGGUGACAAAGACGGUGCAGACGGUGGAGGUGAGGCAGUCGGCGGGGCAGGAGGAGGGGGAGGGGACGAUCAAGCCGAUCGAGGUGGUGCACGAGAUCCCGGCCAAGGAGCCUGCUACUAAGCAAGAGUAG
rnacentral:rRNA from 1 species